GCCAGCAGCCAUGUCACCCUGCAACUUACAAUUGGCAGCCCACUGAAGCUAAUCAGGUGUGAGCCUGGUCAGUACCUGAAUGGGAGACCUCCUGGGAAAAACUAAGGUUGCUGCUGGAA
rnacentral:rRNA from 1 species